CUUUUAUUCUAGGAAGAAAACGAAACUGAUGUUUUCCAUGAUCCAUUAGAGGAAAACGACGCCAUUGAUAUCAAUGACAUAGUUAUAUUAGAGGAAGAAAAUGAAACUGGUGUUUUCCCGGAUCCAUUAAGGGAAAGCGACGCCAUUGAUAUCAAUGACAUGGUUAUAUUAGGGGAAGAAAACGAAACUGGUGUUUUCCGUGACCCACUGAGCAGCGACACCAUUGAUA